rnacentral:lncRNA from 1 species
GGUGGCUCAUGGGUACAAAAAUUUUAGCAAAAAAUUAAACCUUUAUUUUUUCAUUACAAAUUUUAUUUAUUACACUAUUAGUUGUAACUUUAUGAUAUGGUACAAAAAACAACCCAAAAAAUUGAUUUGGUUUGGCCCCAAAUGACUUUAAAAAUUGAAAAAGCUCCAAAUUAUCUCCCUUUGGUGCAAACAUGCCAUUUUUUGGCCUUAAAUUUGAAAUAUCUUUUUUAACUCAUCGGUGACCUAUAUUUUUUAUUAUUAUUUUCAAAUAAGCUGUACAUAAACUAAAUAAUUGUAAAAUUUAAGUGAUUUCUUAUAUUAGGUUAUUUUUUUAUUUCGAUAUUUCCUCUUUUUCUCCUAUUAGUUCAACAGAAAAAAAAAGGACAUUAACAAAAUGUAUGCUUC